UAGGGAAUCUUCGGCAAUGGACGGAAGUCUGACCGAGCAACGCCGCGUGAGUGAAGAAGGUUUUCGGAUCGUAAAGCCCUGUUGUUAGAGAAGAACGUUGGUAGGAGUGGAAAAUCUACCAAGUGACGGUAACUAACCAGAAAGGGACGGCUAACUACGUGCCAGCAGCCGCGGUAAUACGUAGGUCCCGAGCGUUGUCCGGAUUUAUUGGGCGUAAAGCGAGCGCAGGCGGUUCUUUAAGUCGGAAGUUAAAGGCAGUGGCUUAACCAUUGUACGCUUUGGAAGCUGGAAGACUUGAGUGCAGAAGGGGAGAGUGGAAUUCCAUGUGUAGCGGUGAAAUGCGUAGAUAUAUGGAGGAACACCGGUGGCGAAAGCGGCUCUCUGGUCUGUAACUGACGCUGAGGCUCGAAAGCGUGGGGAGCAAACAGG
rnacentral:rRNA from 1 species